rnacentral:rRNA from 1 species
CUACGGGGUGCUCCAGUGAGGAAUAUUGCACAAUGGAGGAAACUCUGAUGCAGCAACGCCGCGUGGAGGAUGACGCAUUUCGGUGUGUAAACUCCUUUUAUAUGUCAAGAAAAUGACGGUAGCAUAUGAAUAAGCACCGGCUAACUCCGUGCCAGCAGCCGCGGUAAUACGGAGGGUGCAAGCGUUACUCGGAAUCACUGGGCGUAAAGGACGCGUAGGCGGGAUAUCAAGUCAGGUGUGAAAUCCUACAGCUUAACUGUAGAACUGCACUUGAAACUUCUAAUCUAGAGUAUGGGAGGGGGAGAUGGAAUUAGUGGUGUAGGGGUAAAAUCCGUAGAUAUCACUAGGAAUACCUAAAGCGAAGGCGAUCUCCUGGAACAUUACUGACGCUAAGGCGUGAAAGCGUGGGGAGCAAACAGGAUUAGAUACCCGAGUAGUC